CGUAACUGGAGGUUGGCCUGUUGUGUGUAUGAGUGUGUGUGUGUCAUUACGGAAAGGGGCGUUACCGACCCUGUCUCUGUGGCCUACAAAAAUGACACAGCAAGAUAAAUUAGUUUGAGUGUUGAUUUCAAUAGUCACUGAAUAGCCUUAUUUUUAAAUGCUCAAAGCGGGUAGUUCUUGCAACAUGGUACAGUCAAGAAGAGAUGUCCGCAUUCUGUUGCUUGGUGAACCUGGUGUUGGGAAGACAUCCUUGAUCUUGUCUCUAGUGAGUGAAGAAUUCCCAGAAGAAGUGCCAGCAAAAUCUGAAGAAAUUACUAUACCUGCUGAUGUCACUCCUGAGAAAGUGCCAACACA